rnacentral:lncRNA from 1 species
CCAAAUUGAAGAACCAUUGCCAUGUUCAUCCAAAGUGAAAGAUACAAGAGCCAUUGGGGAUCUUCUAAAAGCUUGCUUGAUUAAUUUGAUUGCUUGAGCUUUUACUUAUUUGCUUGCAUAUUCCAAAGGAUGGGAGCCACUUGGAUCAUCAAUAUGAUCUCAAGAGAGGAACUCCAUUUGUGGUCUUGUUUCUUAUCCUUCAUCUCUUGUAUGAUUAGG